GGGAGCAUAGCUCAGUGGUAGAGUGUGUGCUUAGCACCUACAAGGUCCUGAGUUCAAAUCCCAGCUCCUCCA
rnacentral:tRNA from 1 species